rnacentral:rRNA from 1 species
AGUGGCGGACGGGUGAGUAACACGUGAGCAACCUGCCUUUCAGAGGGGGGAGUAAACGUUUUGUAAAAGAACGCUAAUACCGCAUAAAGUAUCAUUUCCACAUGGAGGAGAUACCAAAGGAGUAAUCCGCUGAAAGAUGGGCUCGCGUCCGAUUAGCUAGUUGGUAGGGUAACGGCCUACCAAGGCGACGAUCGGUAGCCGGACUGAGAGGUUGAACGGCCACAUUGGGACUGAGACACGGCCCAGACUCCUACGGGAGGCAGCAUG